rnacentral:rRNA from 1 species
AUUGAACGCUGGCGGCAUGCCUUACACAUGCAAGUCGAACGGUAACGCGGGGCAACCUGGCGACGAGUGGCGAACGGGUGAGUAAUGCAUCGGAACGUGCCCAGUAGUGGGGGAUAACUGCUCGAAAGAGCAGCUAAUACUGCAUACGACCUGAGGGUGAAAGCGGGGGAUCGCAAGACCUCGCGCUCUUGGAGCGGCCGAUGUCAGAUUAGGUAGUUGGUGGGGUAAAGGCCCACCAAGCCAACGAUCUGUAGCUGGUCUGAGAGGACGACCAGCCACACUGGGACUGAGACACGGCCCAGACUCCUACGGGAGGCAGCAGUGGGGAAUUUUGGACAAUGGACACAAGUCUGAUCCAGCCAUGCCGCGUGCGGGAAGAAGGCCUUCGGGUCGUAAACCGCUUUUGUCAGGGAAGAAACGCUCUGGGUUAAUACCUCGGGGUAAUGACGGUACCUGAAGAAUAAGCACCGGCUAACUCUGUGCCAGCCGCCGCUGUAAGAC